GCCGGGGGAUGCAAUCGUUAUCCGGAAUCACUGGGCGUAAAGCGUCUGUAGGUGGUGAUGCAAGUCACAGGUCCAAAACUCUGGCUCAACCGGAGGAAAGCGAGUGAAACUGCAUGACUAGAGUGUGGGAGAGGUAGGAGGAAUUCCCUGAGUAGCGGUGAAAUGCGUAGAUACCGGGAAGAACACCGGAGGCGAAAGCGUUCUGCUGGGCCGCAACUGACACUGAGAGACGAAAGCUAGGGGAGCGAAUGGG
rnacentral:rRNA from 1 species